AGCUUUGCGCAGUGGCAGUAUCGUAGCCAAUGAGGUUUAUCCGAGGUGCGAUUAUUGCUAAUUGGAGUGAGAGAGAUGAUAUGUAUCUCUGUGGAUACGGUUUGUCUCUCUCAUUAAGUGAGCCAAAAAAAGUUAACAUUCUGUAAUA